CGGAGCGAUAAUUUCUGUCUGGAGGCAUAGCUCGUGGAAGCAAGUUCGAGGCUCGUGGUCGAGGAUUCCACGCGAAGACACGGCUUCCUGCAUACGACAGCUACGACGGGCUUUCGGAAUCUUCCUGAUGCUUCCAAACCUGUGGAGGGCCGAAGCUACUUGCCCGUCGCUGCUGCUGGUGCUGACUCGUGCCGACUCUCUGUGCCUACCAUCCACUGAGUUCGUUAAGCCUGCAAACUCUCCCGAUACAACGAGGGCGUAGAUCCAGUCCGGUCUGGCAACGCUUCACACCAGUUUUGUUCAUCUGAGCCAUCGGGACAGUCGUUGGCUUUAUUGCAGAUAUCCGCUUCCCGAAGGCACUUCUUUCUGGGCUCGCAGAGCAACUUAGGGUCAUCACACUGUGGAACAGGGCAGUUCUCUUCGUCGGAACCAUCUCUGCAGUCGUCAUCGCCAUCACAUUGAAAGCCGCCGUUAAUGCACAUGAAGUUCUUGCAUUGGAAGCCGUCGCAAGGACGACUUUCGCAGUCAGUUUCGUCGGACCCGUCGGGACAGUCAGUGUCCAAGUCGCAGACGUACCGUUUGGGCAAACAUCUGUUCAAUGGCUUGCACAAAAACGUUUCCUCGUCACAGUCAGGAACGGGACAAUCCUGAAGUUCAUCUUCGCCAUCAGAACAAUCAGCGUCGCCGUCACAUUGCCACUCUUGAAGAAUGCACUUACCGUUGUCACAAAGGAACCCUGAGCAACUUUCGCAGUUCUGCCCGUAACUGCCAUCCGGACAUCCAGACUCCAAGCUAUGAACCUGUGUUCAAAUGCGAAAGUUCGAUGUUAAUUAACCGAAUAGAAAAUACUCUAACACUGUAACAUAAUUUAAUUUAAAGUUGCUCGAAAUUUUACACGCAUACCUUUAGCAGCGAGGCUGCAACGAGCAAGAGUACCCAACCGAAUGUUUGCAUCUUAUGCAAGUUUGCGCUAAUCCCAGCUCCUCCACUACUCAGGAUGCCCGAUACUAAAUUCUAUAUGCGCAUUGGAGCUGUGAUAGAAACGUAGCGGAUGUCCGCGUUGUUACCGGUGUACGUUCUAGAGAUUGCUUGUUGCUAGGAGCAAACGCUCAUGCGGCAAGUUAACGACGGGAAUAAAGUUCUGUACGAUCA